rnacentral:rRNA from 1 species
AACGCCAGGGAAUUACGAGCAACGCUUAAAACCCAAAGGAUUUGACGGUAUCCCAUCCCCCUAGAGGAGCCUGUUCUAUAAUCGAUAACCCCCGCUACACCUAACCACUCCUAGCUUAUCAGCCUGUAUACCUCCGUCGAAAGCUUACCAUGUGAACGUUUACAGUAUGCUUAAUGAACACCAUCAAAACGUCAGGUCAAGGUGCAGCUCAUGGACUGGGAAGCAAUGGGCUACAGUUUCUAACCUAGAACACACGAAAAACUAUGUGAAAUCAUAGUCAUGAAGGCGGAUUUAGUAGUAAAAAGAAAAUAGAGUGUUCUUUUUAACUUGGCCCUGGGAUGUGUACACACCGCCCGUCACCCUCUUCAAUUGUACUUAUUUACAUACCCACAGAAGAGGCAAGUCGUAACAUGGUAAGUGUACUGGAAAGUGCACUUGGAAAA